GAUCCGCAAAUCCUCUAUUUCUUCAUAGAUCUUCUGUUUCCUAGUGAGUCAACAUAUGAACAUCCCAUAUUUCUUAGUAGAUCUGCCGAUCCUCUAUUUCUGGUGGAUUCACACCCGAAGAAUCUUUGUUGUUUGAUGGAUUUAUAGCUCUCUCCACUGCUUUUCUCCUUAGUUUCAGAUCUUUUGUCAUCUCUCCUCACCGUCAAUCUGUCCCUUUCUUUCCAUCUUCGGUUUCUUUUAUUGCCUCUGGCUCCUUCACCACCCAAUUUGAGGCCUCUUCAUUCUCUUCCAAGGUGCCUCCAUCUUCGAGGAUUGUCAACCUUCGACUGCCUUCUCUCCGAGCGUCA
rnacentral:lncRNA from 1 species